rnacentral:rRNA from 1 species
UACAGAGGGUGCAAGCGUUGUUCGGAAUUACUGGGCGUAAGCGCGUGUAGGCGGCGUCGUUAGUCGGAUGUGAAAGCCCUCGGCUCAACCGAGGAAGUGCAUCCGAUACUGCGAUGCUUGAGUGUUGGAGGGGGUGGCGGAAUUCCCGGUGUUAGAGGUGAAAUUCGUAGAUAUCGGGAGGAACACCUGUGGCGAAGGCGGCCACCUGGACGA